AUGAAACUUUUCCUCCCACAGAUCUGGUACAAUGAGAGACAAGUGUUAGAUCGGAUGGAUGGAGAAUCAGGGAUUCCUUGUUUCCUAAUUUUGAGAGACUUAGCAGGGGGAGAGGAAGAAAAAUGGUGUCAUCUUUUCCAUGGGAAGAUGGAAGAUUUAGCCAAGGAGCUCAACAGAACAUCUGUAGCUACAAGCUUUUGUAUGCUGUCCUGCGGCCACGUCUCUGUGUGCUGUCCUGUGUUAACCCAGGCAAGUGACCACCAAGUGUCUGAUAGCCAUGACCAAAUCAGCUCCACCUUUCCCCCCACCUUAUUCUAAUAACCCAGGAGUAGAUUUCUGGAAUUACCCUUCAUUUAAUGAACACAUGUUAAGGAGUCUAUCCUCUACAAUCCAUUCCUUUCCAGGCCUAACAGGGCACUUGUAGAAGGUACAGUCUCAGUGUCUGCAAUUGGGUUUAAACUUUCUGCAGAUUCCAGGAAGAAGGGAAGGAAGAGGGCUUUUGAUUGUUCCUAUUAUGGUCCAGACACUCUGCAAGAUGUGAAUAUCCAUCACCAUGCACCCCAGUUCUGAAGUAAACAUUACUAUUUCCAUUUUCAACACAACAAUCCAGAGCUUUAGAGGUUAAGGGACAUGGCCAAGACCACACAGCUUAGUCAGUAGUAAGAUUUGGUCCCAAAUCUAUCACCAAAACCCAGACUAUUGUCAUUAUGUUUUUCUGGUCCAG
rnacentral:lncRNA from 1 species